rnacentral:rRNA from 1 species
CGGAGUGACGCCGCGUGUGGGACGAAGGCCUUCGGGUCGUAAACCACUGUCAGUGGGAAAGAAGGGUGUCGGCGUUAAUACCGCCGGCAUUUGACGGUACCUGCAGAGGAAGCCCCGGCCAACUCUGUGCCAGCAGCCGCGGUAAGACAGAGGGGGCAAGCGUUGCUCGGAAUUACUGGGCGUAAAGGGCGUGUAGGCGGGAUGGCAAGUCGGUCGUGAAAUCCUUCGGCUCAACCGAAGAACGUCGAUCGAUACUGCUGUUCUUGAGGGUUGCAGAGGAGACUGGAAUUCCCGGUGUAGCGGUGAAAUGUGUAGAGAUCGGGAGGAACACCGGUGGCGAAGGCGGGUCUCUGGGCAAUUCCUGCCGCUAGGCGCGAAAGCGU